rnacentral:rRNA from 1 species
AGAGUUUGAUCCUGGCUCAGAUUGAACGCUGGCGGAAUGCUUUACACAUGCAAGUCGAACGAUGAACCUUAGCUUGCUAAGGGGAUUAGUGGCGAACGGGUGAGUAAUAUAUCGGAACGUGCCUUGUAAUGGGGGAUAACUAGUCGAAAGAUUAGCUAAUACCGCAUACGCCCUGAGGGGGAAAGUAGGGGAUCUUCGGACCUUACGUUAUAAGAGCGGCCGAUAUCUGAUUAGCUAGUUGGUGGGGUAAUGGCCUACCAAGGCGACGAUCAGUAGCUGGUCUGAGAGGACGACCAGCCACACUGGAACUGAGACACGGUCCAGACUCCUACGGGAGGCAGCAGUGGGGAAUUUUGGACAAUGGGCGCAAGCCUGAUCCAGCCAUUCCGCGUGAGUGAAGAAGGCCUUCGGGUUGUAAAGCUCUUUCGCAAGGGAAGAAAACUUACUUUCUAAUAAAGAGUGAGGCUGACGGUACCUUGAUAAGAAGCACCGGCUAACUACGUGCCAGCAGCCGCGGUAAUACGUAGGGUGCGAGCGUUAAUCGGAAUUACUGGGCGUAAAGCGUGCGCAGGCGGUUUGGCAAGUCAGAUGUGAAAUCCCCGAGCUCAACUUGGGAACUGCGUUUGAAACUGCCAGACUAGAAUAUGUCAGAGGGGGGUAGAAUUCCACGUGUAGCAGUGAAAUGCGUAGAGAUGUGGAGGAAUACCAAUGGCGAAGGCAGCCCCCUGGGAUAAUAUUGACGCUCAUGCACGAAAGCGUGGGGAGCAAACAGAAUUAGAUACCCUGGUAGUCCACGCCCUAAACG